rnacentral:lncRNA from 1 species
CGUCUCCAGAUCCAAUUCUCUUGAUACUAUCUAAAUCUCUUCACGCGUUUUACACACACGUCCGAUCUGUGCCAGCGGGGUCGGCAGGGGGAGGUUUGAGCGACACUGAGCUCGGGGCUCGCCGGCGGCGGCGGCGCCGGGGGUGGCGAGGGGAAGGCGACACUCGCUCCGCGCUCCCUUCGUGCAGGGCGACCGGGAGGGCUUUGCAGCGGCCGCCGCCGCGGCGGGAGGAGGGGGCUGAGGUGGCUUCGGAGUUGGCCAAAGAAGCUCGCCCGCGAAGGCAGGAGCGGCCGGCGCCUUCGGCUGAGGAGGAGGAGGAGGAGGAGAAGGAGGAAUCGCGCCGGGCGGAGCGUCAGGUCCCGUUUUCCUCUCCGGCGUCUCGCAUACAAAGAUUACGGUGCAGAAGGAAAUUGCACUCGCCUCCUCCGCCCCCCGGUACCCAACACAAUGCACCAGCCGCCUGAGUCCACCGCCGCCGCCGCGGCGGCCGCCGCAGACAUUAGUGCUAGGAAGAUGGCGCACCCGGCAAUGUUCCCUCGAAGGGGCAGCGCUGGUGGCAGCGCCUCUGCUCUCAGUGCAGCAGGUACUGGCAUCGGGAGUAAUGCCACAUCUUCCGAGGAUUUUCCGCCGCCCUCGCUGCUCCAGCCGCCGCCUCCUGCAGCAUCUUCCUCGUCGGGACCACAGCCUCCGCCUCCACAAAGCCUGAACCUCCUCUCGCAGGCUCAGCUGCAGGCACAGCCUCUUGCGCCAGGCGGAACUCAAAUGAAAAAGAAAAGUGGCUUCCAGAUAACUAGCGUCACUCCGGCUCAGAUCUCCGCCAGUAUCAGCUCUAACAACAGUAUAGCGGAGGAUACAGAGAGCUAUGACGAUCUGGAUGAAUCUCACACGGAAGACCUCUCUUCCUCCGAGAUCCUUGAUGUGUCACUUUCCAGGGCUACUGACUUGGGGGAGCCUGAGCGCAGCUCCUCGGAGGAGACUCUGAAUAACUUCCAGGAAGCCGAGACGCCUGGCGCGGUCUCUCCCAAUCAGCCCCACCUUCCACAACAGAGUGUUGUGAUCAAUGGGAAUGCUCAUCCACACCACCUCCAUCACCACCAUCACAUUCAUCACGGGCACCACCUCCACCAUGGGCACCACCACCCAUCCCAUGCUGCUGUGGCCAGUGCAUCCAUUCCUGGAGGGCCACCCUCAAGCCCUGUAUCCAGAAAACUCUCCACAACUGGAAGCUCUGACGGUGUUGCACCAGUUGCACCAGCUUCUGCUGUAUCAUCGAGUGGCUCACCUGCAUCUGUAAUGACUAAUAUCCGUGCCCCCAGCACUGCAGGCGGUAUAGGUAUAAAUUCUGUUACUGGCACUAAUACAGUGAAUAAUGUUAACAUUGCUGCUGUGGGUAGUUUCAGUCCUAAUGUGACAAGCAGCGUGCUGGGGAGUGCUAAUAUAAGUGCAAGCAAUAUUCCUAGUGCUGCUAGUGUGAGUGUUGGGCCUGGAGUUCCUAGUGGUGUUAAUGUAAAUAUCUUGAGUGGCAUGGGCAAUGGUACUGUUUCUUCUUCUGCUGUUGUUAACAGUGUCCCUGGUGCAGCUGCAGGAAUGACUGUGGGAUUGGUGUCAAGUCAGCAGCAACAGCCAACCGUUAACACAUCAAGGUUCAGAGUGGUGAAGUUAGAUUCUAGUUCUGAACCCUUUAAAAAAGGUAGAUGGACUUGCACUGAGUUCUAUGAAAAAGAAAACGCUGUACCUGCUACUGAAGGCGUGGCGAUAAAUAAAGUGGUGGAGACUGUAAGACAGAACCCGGUAGAAGUGUCUUCUGAGCGAGAGAUGGGAACCCCUACAGUGGUGGUGCAGCCGCAACAGCAGCAGCCGCCACCACCACCAGCCCUUCAAGGUGUGGCCCUCCAACAAAUGGAUUUCAGUAGCGCCGGUCCACAGAGCAUUUCUCAGCCGCAGAUGUCGCAAGUACAAUUACAGUCUCAAGAACUGAGCUAUCAGCAAAAGCAAGGUCUUCAACCAGUACCUCUGCAAGCCACCAUAAAUGCUGCAACUGGUAUCCAGCCAUCGCCUGUAAACGUGGUUGGUGUAACUUCAGCUUUAGGUCAGCAGCCUUCCAUUUCUAGUUUGGCUCAACCCCAACUGCCAUAUUCCCAGACGGCUCCCCCAGUGCAAACUCCUCUUCCAGGGGCACCACCCCAGCAGUUACAAUAUGGACAACAUCAACCAAUGGUUUCUACACAGUUGGCCCCAGGCCAUGGUCAACCAGUGACUCAGAAUCCUACUUCAGAGUGCUACCGCUGACGACACCCCUGGUGGAUGGUGAAGAUGAGAG